GGCAAAAUGUAUCGAUCUAAAUUUUUCUUCUCAUUAUAUGUGAGGAAAUACAUGUAGUAUUUUCUUUAUUCAAAACUAUGCAAUGCUAAGUUAACGCUUGUAUGCUUGUGCAGGGCUAACAUAUUAAGAUAUGGAUAUUUUGUUUGUGUCACUUGUAUUCAUUAAAAUAAUUUUCUUCAUCCAAGAUGGGAUUAAUUGCAGGAGAUCCUAAAUUCACGAAAUCAGUGUUACACAUUUUCGUAUAUGGAAUGAUUCUUUGAGUACGAAUAUAAUGGAGUGAUAAAAAAGAGUCGGGAAAGAUCAGGUCCAAUAAAAACCAGAGGGCUUUAUGAUAUAUUUAAUCAUGCCGACUAUAUUUGAUUACCUCAUAAUGUGUAAACAAUGAUUACUUACUACUUAUAAAAUUUUUAGAAUAUCAACUUGAUUAUUUUUGAAAUGAAUUUGACUAUACGUUACGAAAUCAAUUCGUAGUGUUAUCAUAGACAGGGACACUGGAAAAUGUAAAUAUAAAUGUUGUUAAAGGGAAAGUCUAAAAAAUGUGCAUAUUUGAUGGUACAUUUCAUUACUUUUAUUUUAUUACGAAGUGAUUCAAUUUCAGGAAUUAAACAGUUACAAAAGCUUGACCAAAUUUCAAUUCAAGAGUUAUUAUGAUGAAUGUUGUUUACAUUGAAAUUUCUAUAUUAUUAUGUUUAACAUAAAGUUUUACCUGUUAUUCAUUAUUUAUGCGCUGGGUAAAUGUUUUAAUCCAAAGGCGUCAAUUCCCUAAAAUAAUGUUUAAACUUCUGAUCAUUAUUUGAAUGUGAACAUGUUUUUGUACACGUAUUUUAAUAUUAAAACACAUUUCACAAAAAAAAAACCCAUUUUGAUAUUUUUUGUAAAGCAAAGUUGUCUUUUUCUAUUUGCAAACAUCUGAAGAAUGUUUUAAGUUUUC
rnacentral:misc_RNA from 1 species